rnacentral:tRNA from 1 species
GUGGCUCAGAUGGUAGAGCGUCUGUCUGCAGUGCAGGAGACCUGGGUUCGACCCCGC